ensembl:lncRNA
GUACAUCCUCGUGAUUGUUGAUCAUUUUACACGUUUCACUCAAGCCUACGCCACCACAUCAAAGUCAGGUAAAACUGCUGCAAAUCUCAUCUUCAAUGACUUUGCCCUGAAGUUCGGGUUCCCGUCCCGCAUCCACCAUGACCAAGGGGGAGAAUUUGAAAAUCAGUUGUUCCAUCAAUUAAAGAAACUCAGUGGCAUGGCGGGGUCCAGAACAACACCCUAUCACCCGAUGGGGAACGGUCAAGUGGAACGCAUGAACAGAACAGUGUUGCAAAUGUUAAAGACACUAACUGAGACACAAAAGUCAAAUUGGAAGGAGUCUCUGAACAAACUGGUUUAUGCCUAUAACUGCACCCGUUGCGAAAUGACUGGCUAUUCACCAUUUUAUCUUCUGUUUGGGAGAUCACCCAGGCUUCCAGUUGAUAUGCUCUUUGGAUUGUGCACAGAGGCAGGUUCCAGUAACCAGCGAGACUACGUGGAGAACUGGAAACGAGGGAUGGAAGAAGCAUACGCCAUUGCAAAUGAAAAUGCUCAGAAAGCCGCUGAAAGAAGUAAGAAGUACUAUGACACUAAAGUUAGGAGUUCAGUGCUACAGCCUGGCGAGCGAGUUCUGAUUAAAAACCUGACGCCAAGAGGAGGACCAGGAAAACUCCGUAACUAUUGGGAAGAUACAAUUCACACAGUAGUGAGACAAAUGGGUUCAGACCUGCCGAUUUAUGAAUUGAGACCAGAAAAGGGUAGGGGCCGCUCCAGGGUCCUGCACAGAAACCUGCUCAUGUCCUGUGACCACUUACCUUUUGAGACGCAACCAGAAAUGACCAAAGAUGACAAAAGUCAGAAAAAAAGGAGACAUCAGCCUGAAUCAGAGCCUCUAGAUUCUGAUGAAGACAGCGGUGAUGAAUAUGACCUUCAUCAUGAGCCGCUACAGGUUCCCACAUCUACAGUACCUGAGGGGAGGAAUGCUGAACCAGCGAGAGAGUGGGAACACAGGCCCCCACCAGUGAAACAGACAGUUGCCGUGCCAGUCCCUGAUACGCAACCAGCACGGCCUCUGGUUGAAAAGCGGCUGGAGGAGACAACAGUUAAAGACCGGCCUGCUGAGGAGAUGAACUUGCCUGCUGAAAAUUUGCCUGAUGAUCGUCCACCAAGUGCCUUUCCUUCAUUAACUGCUGCUGCUGAACCUGAGGAACCAGCCUACCAGCUGCCACAAAGAGAGAGACACCCUCCAAGACGUAUCACCUAUGAUCAUCUUGGUAUCCCUUCCUGCUACAGUAUCCAGCCACAGCCACAGUUGUUCCCUGUCUACUCUGCACCAGGAAUGGUUCCAUGGCUGCCAUCACUACAGCAAUGUUACUUUCAGCCACCUUACAUGUAUGGGCUUCAGCAAACAUGAGGCUACAGAGUUGACAUGUUUGACCAUGGACUACUGACUGAUUUCAGACUGUCACAAGAGACAAUUUGCAGACUAUGCAUAUAGAUCAUUAAAAUUGAUGGACUGUUGAUCAAUAGUAUGAGAAAAGACUGCUUAAGGACUGUUUAUACAGCUGGUCA